AAAUGAUUCGAAGUUAUUUCUCAUAUAUGCUCGGGAAUAGGGCCCGAGUGUUUCUACCCGGAAACCGUAAAUUUCCGGACUAUGGGAGAUGCCUUUCCAGGG
rnacentral:ncRNA from 1 species